UACGGAGGGGGCUAGCGUUGUUCGGAAUUACUGGGCGUAAAGCGCACGUAGGCGGCUUUGUAAGUUAGAGGUGAAAGCCCGGAGCUCAACUCCGGAAUUGCCUUUAAGACUGCAUCGCUUGAAUCAUGGAGAGGUGAGUGGAAUUCCGAGUGUAGAGGUGAAAUUCGUAGAUAUUCGGAAGAACACCAGUGGCGAAGGCGACUCACUGGACAUGUAUUGACGCUGAGGUGCGAAAGCGUGGGGAGCAAACGGG
rnacentral:rRNA from 1 species